rnacentral:rRNA from 1 species
CCUACGGGAGACAGCAGUGAGGAAUAUUGGUCAAUGGGCGUAAGCCUGAACCAGCCAAGUCGCGUGAGGGAUGAAGGUUCUAUGGGUCGUAAACCUCUUUUGUAAGGGAAUAAAGUGCGGGACGUGUCCCGUUUUGUAUGUACCUUAUGAAUAAGGAUCGUCUAACUCCGUGCCAGCAGCCGCGGUAAUACGGAGGAUCCGAGCGUUAUCCGGAUUUAUUGGGUUGAAAGGGUGCGUAGGCGGCUUUUUAAGUUAGCGGUGAAAGGCGGUGGCUCAACUAUAGAAUUGCCUUUGAAACUGGGAAUCUUGAGUGUGUUUGAGGCAGGCGGAAUGCGUGGUGUAGCGGUGAAAUGCUUAGAUAUCACGCAGAACCCCGAUUGCGAAGGCAGCCUGCCAAGCCAUGACUGACGCUGAUGCACGAAAGCGUGGGGAUCAAACAGGAUUAGAUACCCUAGUAGUC